rnacentral:rRNA from 1 species
CCUACGGGAGGCAGCAGUGAGGAAUAUUGGGCAAUGGACGAAAGUCUGAACCAGCAAAGUAGCGUGAAGGAUGACUGCCCUAUGGGUUGAAAACUUCUUUUAUAUGGGAAUAAAAUGUACCACGUCAGGGAAUUUGUAUGUACCAUACUAAUAACGAUCGGCCACCUCCGUGCCAGCAGCGGCGGUAAUAUUGGGGAUCCGAGCGUGAUCCGGAUUAAUUGGGUUUAAGGGGAGCUUAGGUGGAUUUUUAAGUCAGUUUGGAAAGUUUGCGGCUCAACCGUAAAGUUGCAGUUGAAACUGGCAGUCUUGAGUACUGUAGAGGUGAGUGGAAUUCGUGGUGUAGCGGUGAAAUGCUUAGAUAUCACGAAGAACUCCGAUUGCGAAGGCAGCUCACUGGACAGCAACUGACACUGAGGCUCGAAAGUGUGGGUAUCAAACAGGAUUAGAUACCCUUGUAGUC